ensembl:lncRNA
UAAAUACUAAAUAUCCUAACUGGAAUUUUUUCGAAUCUGUACGAAAUGUAACCUUUUUGUCGUGAAGUUUCUUUCCUGGGUUGGUUUCCUCGGGAUGGUAGACCAUUUGACACGAACCACCAUAUUGUUUCCCCAAGACUCCCACAUGCUCUGGAUGUGACCAAUAAAUGGAAGAUUAGGCCGUCCAGCGGACAAGAAGACAGCACAGUCUCCAAUACGAAUCAUUUCUUUGCCUCGCAUAAUGGCCUUAUAGAAGAGUUUCUUUGCUUUGCCCUUCAUUCCCCGUCUCUGCAAUAAAAAAUUUUAAAAAACCCUUUACACUUUUUUUUUUUUUUUUUUAGUUCAUUCAAGAGCAAAUACCAAAGCAGUGUGUAGACAAGCAAGAUCAUUUUUUUUCUUAAAUAACAGAAUAAAUCAGAACAUCCAAUGUAUUAACUACACUUUUUUAGAAAUGUCAUGACUAACCUGAGUAGGUUUCCCAAACCACUUCCACAGCUGUCUGGCUGGCAGGAAAGCAGAAAUCUUGGGUCUGUUCUCCACAGAGGGCAGUCUCUGUCUCUUAGCCAGCUCCUUUGUAGUGGGCAGGUGGAUGCCCUCUCUCCUCUUAGGCCGACCAACGCUCUUCUUCACCUUCUGCUGCUUCUGUUGCUUUGCCUGCUGUUUGGGAGGAUCUUGCUGUUUCUGGACCUUGGUUGUGGUCAAAGGGAGCUCGGUCUUCACCUCAGCUUUCUCUUCUACAUCCUCUUCAUCGUUCUCUGUCGGAGGUUGCUCUUGAGGAGACAGGGGCUGCGGAACUGCAGGAGCCUCCUCAUCCGAGCUACACGAAGACUCCUCGUCACUGGUGGUCGAGGACGAGGAGGACGAUGAAGAUGAGAUGAUGAAUUAAAUCCAGCAGUAGAAGAGGAGCUACUGCUGGACGAGCUGGAAGAGGUGGGGCUAGAGGCACGGGAGCUGGUAGAGCUGCUGUCCUGCUUGGUCUUUGUUUCCGGCGAGGUCCUCCUUUCCUCCUCUCCAUCAGACUCCGAGCUGCUGCUACUGCUGCUACUGCAGUUUUCCGAUUGAGCCUCCUUCUCUCCUGAGCCCUUCACACUAACGCGGCCGUCUGUGCUGCUUCCCAGCUUACGGAUAUUGUAGUUCGCGACGCUGUCUGUAUUAACUGUCUCAGGCUCGGUCUUGGGCUUCAGUGUUUUGUCUGUAGGGGUAGUGGAGGUGACAGUAGUGUAAUUAACACCCAUCACGGCUUUACUGUCUCUCUUUGUGCGGUUCUGACCCUCCAUCAUCAUCAGAGCUUUGGUCUUCUUGGUCUUGGGGGACAUCACACCCUCAUGGUCCAACUUGAUCAGGAUCUCCGUCUGAGGCUGCUUGCGUUGGGUUUUCACUCCAAACGCUGCUCCUUCAUCUUCACUCUUCCGGACUCUUUUGACAGCCUUUGCCUUCCCGCUCUCAUUGUUGGACAUAAAGGAAGCUAAUGAAGCAGACGGGUCAUUGUAGAGAUCCACCGAGAGAACUUUUCCAUAAAGCGCAGAUGAGUAGACAGACUUGGGCUGCGAGUGUACUUUGGCUGGGGGUUUGGCUACAGCAGUUUUCUUCUGGCCUUCAGCAGGUAUGGGGAUGGAGGGGUUGGUUGUGUUGGCAGGCUGACUCUUCCUGCCUAGCAUGGGCCAUUUUUCUGGGUAGUAAGGGGUCUCUCCUGCACUGGUCCAGGGGCUGAUUGGUCAGGUUUUUCAUGCUCCUUUUGAGCUAGUUCAGGCUCUGGAAAGUAGAACAGAGAGGAGGAGUUUAAUAUGCUUCAACACAUGACCUACAUGGAAUGCAGCGAAGCUAAAAUUGUCCCUAUUCUGCCAGGAAGCCUUUUUCUUCCCAACCACAAACAAAUUACUUAAUAUCCAUGAAACCACCCAUAAUAUCCCCUCUUGAACUACAGACAUUCAUUUCAUUCAUUCCAAGACUGCUGGCUCUUUCAACUGGAAACAAUUCAGUUAUCAGAAACUUCAAGAUUUCAUGAUGUCUAAAGUAAGUGAGAUAAAUUACCAGGUUUGGGUUUUGGUUUUCUCCCUCUCCCCUUAUUCUUUGGAGCAGAAUCAUCUGCGGUUUUGGGGCUCGUGUCUUUGCUCUCAGGAACAUCCUUACUACUCUUCCGAGCUCGCUUUUUAGUGCUAGCCACCAAGAGAGCAGGGGAUGGCUCAGCACCUGCAAAGAAAAACACAGCAAACAAAAAAAGUUUUUCAUUUUUCAACAGAACACACAUCGAUCUCAAUAUUUAUUUAACGCGACCUCUUAAAACACUACAUGAAUACGUGCACUGACAAGUCACAACCUAGAAAAAAAAACCCCAGCUCUUUACACCUCAAGAGCAAAAGCAAACAAAAUCAGUGGCUGCAGAGGCUCCAAACCAAACAGUGUUUUCAUUUGGGCAGUUA